UUUUCGUUGCUGGCGGCGGCGCAAGGCGAUUGCCGCAGAAGCUCUCCCGUUUGACGCCUUCCGUCCGCCGCACUCUCUCCCAUUCGACGUCGUCCCUCCAGCCCCCUGUCUCCCGUUCGACGCCAUCCUCCAGCGCCCUGUCUUCGUCACCGCCGGCGAGGGUGGAGAUACACGCGACCAGCUCGCCCUCUCUCCCGUUCGACGUCAUCUAGCGCUUGCUUGCCGCCCCUCUUCUCCGGCCAAGGAGGAUUCUUCUGGUACUUAUAGAUGAGCAUGGCUUAGAGAAGACUUAUAUUCAUGCUGCCCUUUGCUGUGCUUGAAGAUAUUAGGGACCAGGCCUGAAGAUAUGUACUGUUAGUACUGAGCUGAAAUAAUACUGGAUAAUUUAUUGUUUAGCAAGUCUUUAGCUUCAGUGUCUGAAGAUACUUGCUGUUGGAACUGAGUUGAAACGUUAUUUAUUUGCA